CCUACGGGUGGCAGCAGUGGGGAAUAUUGCACAAUGGGCGCAAGCCUGAUGCAGCGACGCCGCGUGGGGGAUGACGGCCUUCGGGUUGUAAACUCCUUUCGUUAGGGACGAAGCCACAUUUUUUUGGGUGUGGUGACGGUACCUUUGUUAAGAAGCACCGGCUAACUACGUGCCAGCAGCCGCGGUAAUACGUAGGGUGCGAGCGUUGUCCGGAAUUACUGGGCGUAAAGAGCUCGUAGGUGGUUUGUUGCGUCGUCUGUGAAAUUCCGGGGCUUAACUUCGGGGUGGCAGGCGAUACGGGCAUAACUAGAGUGCUGUAGGGGAUACUGGAAUUCCUGGUGUAGCGGUGGAAUGCGCAGAUAUCAGGAGGAACACCGAUGGCGAAGGCAGGUCUCUGGGCAGUAACUGACGCUGAGGAGCGAAAGCAUGGGGAGCGAACAGGAUUAGAUACCCGAGUAGUC
rnacentral:rRNA from 1 species